rnacentral:rRNA from 1 species
UACAGAGGGUGCAAGCGUUAAUCGGAAUUACUGGGCGUAAAGCGCACGCAGGCGGUCAUGUAAGUCGGGUGUGAAAUCCCCGGGCUCAACCUGGGAACUGCAUUCGAGACUGCAUGGCUAGAGUACGGUAGAGGAGGGCGGAAUUCCAGGUGUAGCGGUGAAAUGCGUAGAUAUCGGGAGGAACAUCAGUGGCGAAGGCGGCCCUCUGGACCAGUACUGACGCUCAGGUGCGAAAGCGUGGGGAGCAAACAGG